AUCACUUCGCAAACAACUGUGCUGCUGAAAAGGUAUCAGGCUUUUGGCUCUUUUGGGGGUAGCGGAGUGCUCCUCUGRCUCCUGUCUUGUGUGAGUACAUAGCUGUACUGAAGUCUUCCAACAAUUCAACUUGAGUCCCGGUUUCAUGGGUGCAUUUCCAGGAUGGCCUGCUCGGACGGCCCGCGGCGGCGGCGCCUCCGUCCCCUGGGUGCUGCAGCCUCUGAGCAGUUCUGGGGUUUCCGUCCUUGGUGAGGGCUGGUUUCCGACUGCACAACCGCAUUGGAUCCUGUCUCCUUCUGGUGAUGGGAAAACCGCUUGAAGGAGCUACAUGGAGGUUUGAUGCCCAAUGYUCUCUGCUAGUUCAGUUAGCAGAGAACAGGCCUGCGCAUCCUCUCCCUAACCAUGCACCUUGCUCGAGGUGGUGGCAGCUUUUUCCCCACACCGUGCCUUGAACGGAGGGAAGUUCAGCUUGGCGACUGCAGGAUGGGGCUUGGAGAGGUUUUUUGGCAGGAGAGAGUCAUGCUGUGAGCCGGCAGAGCUGGCACCGGCUGCUUUCAGCUGAUUAAUUGAGAGCAUUUUAAUUUGAUUGGGUCGCCUCUCCUGCCCGCUGCCGGGAUCGCUCCUGUCUUGCGUGCCGGAGGGCCUGUGCUGGAUGCGAGUCUGGCAUCCUCCUGCCUGUCCCGAAAAUUAGUG
rnacentral:lncRNA from 1 species